UGCGCAGGCGGUUUUGUAAGACAGAGGUGAAAUCCCCGGGCUCAACCUGGGAACUGCCUUUGUGACUGCAAGGCUAGAGUGCGGCAGAGGGGGAUGGAAUUCCGCGUGUAGCAGUGAAAUGCGUAGAUAUGCGGAGGAACACCGAUGGCGAAGGCAAUCCCCUGGGCCUGCACUGACGCUCAUGCACGAAAGCGUGGGAGCAAACA
rnacentral:rRNA from 1 species